GUGCUCGCUUCGACAGCACAUAUACUAAAAUUGGAACUAUACAGAGAAGAUUAGCAUGGCCCCUGCACAAGGAUAACAUGCAAAUUUGUGAAGCAUUCCAUAUUUUU
rnacentral:snRNA from 1 species